rnacentral:rRNA from 1 species
UGCGUAGGCGGCCGGGUAAGUCACGUGUGAAAGGCCGGGGCUCAACCCCGGAUCGGCAUGUGGGACUGCCUGGCUCGAGCACGGUAGAGGCGAGUGGAAUUCCUGGUGUAGCGGUGGAAUGCGUAGAGAUCAGGAAGAACACCGGUGGCGAAGGCGGCUCGCUGGGCCGUUGCUGACGCUGAGGCACGAAAGCGUGGGGAGCAAACAGGAUUAGAUACCCUGGUAGUCCACGCUGUAAACGAUGGACACUAGGCGUCGGGGGGAGCGACCCUCCCGGUGCCGUCGCUAACGCAAUAAGUGUCCCGCCUGGGGAUACGGCCGCAAGGCUGAA